UAGAGAUAGAAGUACUUCGGUACAUCGGUGACAGGUGGUGCAUGGUUGUCGUCAGCUCGUGUCGUGAGAUGUUGGGUUAAGUCCCGCAACGAGCGCAACCCUUGCCAUUAGUUGCUACGAAAGGGCACUCUAAUGGGACUGCCGGUGACAAACCGGAGGAAGGUGGGGAUGACGUCAAGUCCUCAUGGCCCUUAUAGGUGGGGCUACACACGUCAUACAAUGGCCGGUACAGAGGGUAGCCAACCCGCGAGGGGGGAGCCAAUCCCACAAAGCCGGUCGUAGUCCGGAUCGCAGUCUGCAACUCGACUGCGUGAAGUCGGAAUCGCUAGUAAUCGCGGAUCAGCAUGUCGCGGUGAAUACGUUCCCGGGUCUU
rnacentral:rRNA from 1 species